AACGAACGUUAGCGGCGCGCUUAACACAUGCAAGUCGUGCGAGAAAGGGCUUCGGCCCCGGUACAGCGGCGCACGGGUGAGUAACACGUAGGUAAUCUGCCCCCAGGUGGUGGAUAACCUUCCGAAAGGAGGGCUAAUACAGCAUAAGACCACGGGUUCGAAAGGACUUGAGGUCAAAGCCGGCCUCUUUACAAAAGCUGGCGCCAGGGGAUGAGCCUGCGGCCCAUCAGGUAGUUGGUAGGGUAAUGGCCUACCAAGCCUAAGACGGGUAGCUGGUCUGAGAGGAUGAUCAGCCACACUGGAACUGAGACACGGUCCAGACGCCUACGGGAGGCAGCAGUGGGGAAUCUUGCGCAAUGGGCGAAAGCCUGACGCAGCGACGCCGCGUGAGUGAUGAAGGCCCUCGGGUUGUAAAGCUCUGUGGAGGGGGACGAAUAAGUGUUGGCUAAUAUCCAGCAUGAUGACGGUACCCCUUUAGCAAGCACCGGCUAACUCUGUGCCAGCAGCCGCGGUAACAC
rnacentral:rRNA from 1 species